rnacentral:sRNA from 1 species
GCUGGGUGUGGUGGCUCACGCCUGUAAUCCCAGCUACUUGGGAGGCUGAGGCAGGAGAAUCACUUGAACCCAGGAGGCAGAGGUUGCAGUGAGCUGAGAUCGUGCCACUGCAGUCCAGCCUGGGCAACAGAGUGCGACUCUGUCUCAA